AUACGUAGGUGGCGAGCGUUAUCCGGAAUCAUUGGGCGUAAAGAGGGAGCAGGCGGUGAUACAGGUCUGGAGGUGAAAGCCCGAAGCUAAACUUCGGGAAGCCCCGGAAACCGGAUCACUGGAGUGCGGAAGAGGAUCGUGGAAUUCCAUGUGUAGCGGUGAAAUGCGUAGAUAUAUGGAGGAACACCAGUGGCGAAGGCGACGGUCUGGUCCGCAACUGACGCUCAGUCCCGAAGGCGUGGGGAGC
rnacentral:rRNA from 1 species